GUUUGCAAUUAAAUCAUGAAUUUAAAUCAUAAAACUUUUUCAUCUUUAUUGUGAAACUGCAACAUACAAAAAUAUCAAGUGACAAACAACCAGAAAUGUUUUUGGGUUAAAAAAAAAAAAAAAAAGAAAAACUUCCAGUACCCAGCCUGCAUACGUCUGCACACCCUUUUAUAAUUGGGAAUGUGGCAGUGUUCAGAAUUAACCAAUCACAUUCAACCUCAUGUUAAACACUAAUUAGUGUACACCUGCCUUCAAUUAAAGUGUCUGAUUAACCCCAAAUAAAGUCCAGCUGUUCUUGUAGGCUUCUUCCGACAUCUUCUUGGUAACAUCCAACUGGAAAAGCCAUCCAAUCAAAGAUCUGUGUGGUGACCUGAAGAGGUCAAUACUUUUACAAGGAAGAAUGUCAAAAUAUUGCUAAGUGAAGACGCUCCAAACUGAUCGACUCUUACUCAAAAACACUGAAUACUGUGAUAAUAUCUAAAGCUGCUUCAACUCAGUAUUAGUUUAGGGGUGUGCAUACUUAUACAACCAUGUUAUUGUACAUUUAUUAUUAUUUAUUUUUUUGUUUCCCUAAAAUGAUUCUUAUUGUUUUUCCACUUUAACAAGUUCAAAUUUUACAAUAAAAGUAGAAAAGGUUCUAACAUGAUUUAUCUCGGUUUAAUAUUUUACAUCACAAAAACCUGCCAUUUUAACAGGGGUGUGUACAUUUUUAUAUCCACUGUAUAUUGUGACCAUGCCGGUACACGAACACAGACAAAAUAAUCUAUAUAUUGAUUGGUUACUGCAUUACCUUAUCAACAUCUGUCAGCAUGGACAACAUCAAUGUGCUCAGUCCGUUAAUGAAUGAACACACACACACUUUAGGUUGAUCAAUCAGUGGAACACAGCUCUGAUUCAAGGACGUUGCUAACAUCAGACAAUCAACACACACACACACUUUAAUUUACAUUAAGUGAUUAUCAGGUUCUGAUAUAGAGCAGUAUUUUUCAGUAGUAAUGUAGUUUUGCUGGUACUGAGGUGUUAAUUACGGCUCUCGUAUCGUCUGUGUGCAGUGUGUAAAUGAAAUGAUGAUGUAGAUUAUUUGACAGGACCGGGAUGAAUAAUCAGACUGCUCAUCUUCAUCUGGUCAUCUGCCGACCUUCAGUGCUGUGACAUAUGAGCUGAAACACACGCACUACUGACCAGUCAGUCACUAGACAGAUAAACUAAACCAUCAAACACACACACACACACACACACACACCCCUUCUAUUCUAUAAACACAAGUCAUUAAAUUUGCUCAUUUGGAUGAUGCUUUAAUCCAGAGCUAUAACGCUAUGGACAGGAUGCAAAUGAGCAGAUGAUUAAAGGGUCUUGUGCUUAUAGGUGGUGCUGGGAUAUGAACUCAUAACCUCUCCAAUGCAUAGCACAAAGCCUGAGCUACAACAAUUAGAAAUAUGAAUGUGUGAGAAAUUCCAGUGUGUAGCUAAAUCAGGUAGCAGUAAAGCUAUUUAGUGAUAAACUGCAGUGUAAAAACCAGCAGACCAUCAGAGUUUCUAAUAUGCAAAAUGUUUGUCCACAAACUUUAUUAAAUUUAUUUGAUUGAUAUAGCAUGUUUAUCGACACACAUCAUCACAAACAUUGUUUAGAGAAAUCUGGAUGUAGAUUUAGAUCCCUAAUGAACAAUCCAGAGACGAUAGUGACAAGGAAAAAAUCCCUGAGACGACAUGAGGAAGGAACCUGGAGAGGAACCAGACUGAAAUCAUAACCGAACUCAUCCUCAUGUGUGUGAAACCAGAUCAUUACAGUGUGCAGGUGUAGAAGAGUAAAAGCACGCAGUACUGAGUGUAUUUACAGGAUGUUCACUAUGAGCUUCAUGGUCUACUACGAUAUUCACAUCAUUUACUGCACUUCAUUAGUGCUGAAAUUUAACAUCCCUUCAAACGAGAGAUGAGGAGUGAACCCUGGAGAUAAAGGUAUCAAAUCUUCAGAGGUGUGAGAUCGGACCAUUGCUGCGCACAUGCAAGUCAGUGCUGCCCCCUGCUGAUGCUUCAUUCUGAACUCAUCUGUACUGCUGAACAAAAAUUACUGAAUAAAAUGAUACAACAUACAUAUAAACACGUUUAUUUCUCCAUGAAGCUCUACACUGAGCCAUGUUCUGUCCCUGAGCUCUCUUCAUGUUUUACAACACUUAUUUUUAAAUCCUCAAUCUCCUGUUCUAGAGCUAAACAGGUACAGGAAGUCAGAUUCAGUUUUAAAUAAUGUCCUGUUUAAUAAUAAAUGUCACCUGGAAGGAGUCUUGCUAUUUCUGCUCUUUUUUUUAAUGAAAUCGGCUCGUUAUUGAUUCACCUUCAUCUCAGCUCCAGAAUUAGCAACACAAUCCAUCACGGAGAUUUUAUUCUCAGGCACCCAUCAUUAGAGCCACAAAAUGAGGCUUAAUAUUAACUGUACUCUUAUUAAAUGACCACAGAGCUGAUAAAUGCUCUACACAGGGGGCGGAGCUAGACGUCAGUCAGUUCUACUUUUAGUACUAUAGUCCAUCAGCUCCAUGUUCUCCAUGUUACAUCAAGGGAAAGGGUAUUGCAUGGCAGUGCGCGUGAUAGUACAGUGUAUUGUGGGCGUGGUAGUGUGGGGGUGUGGUGUAUUUGUGGGCAUGGUAGUGUGGGGGUGUGGUGUAUUUGUGGGCAUGGUAGUGUGGGGGUGUGGUGUAUUUGUGGGCAUGGUAGUGUGGGGGUGUGGUGUAUUUGUGGGCAUGGUAGUGUGGGGGUGUGGUGUAUUUGUGGGCAUGGUAGUGUGGGGGUGUGGUGUAUUUGUGGGUAUGACGAUGUCAAUACCAGCAUAAAUCCUUGCUGUUCUCAGAUGUCCACACACCUGCAAAAAUUUUAACUAGGUUAAAAAUGUUAGUUACCAGUUAAUUAUUAGCAUUAGUUAGCAGUAAUUAGCAUUUUUCUGUCCUGGCCUGUAUCUCUUGGUUGUUUAUUUUUGUUCUGAUCACAUUCAUGCUCUGGCCUGAGCACAUGGUUUUUAGCGACUAAGUGUACUACCUCAUUCCGGAGGGUGGUAUGAUGGAGCUGCAGAUGGUUGAUGAGAGAACGGUGUUAGCAUGUAGUUUUGGGGUAAACUCCAGGAAGCAGGAGUUUCAGGCCGGCUCACGAUCACUGAUGAAGACCGAACUGCUUCCUCAGCAGAGAAACAUGGAGCCAUGUGCUAAUGUUAGAUUUAAAAAGUGCUGUUAAUAUCAUUCAUUCUGCUAUGUAACACUUAUUUUAAUUAUGAACAGAUUAUGUGACUUGACACUAUGUACAUAGAUACUUCAGCAUGAUGGCUAAUGGGCUAAUGAGCAGCCAAUACAUACAUCAGCUAAAUCC
ensembl:lncRNA